UUAUAUUCUCCACAGGGGGGGAUGAGAACCCCCGACCGGGGUUCGACAACUGGCGCAGCCAGUUGGACAGACCGCGCACGCAGUAAGCGGGCUGCCCCGCAGGGGCGAGCGAAGCGAGUCAACCCCCCCCUCACCGCCA
rnacentral:sRNA from 1 species